AAUUUCGAUAAAUUCAUAUGAGAAGUUCAUAAAAUAUACCUCAGGACUAUUGCCACCUAUAAGUACUGAGAUCUCACUUUAUAAAAAAAACGAUGUGUCUAGUGCAAGUAUGAUAUCUAUGACUAUUGGAAAAAAAAUAGUCGUAACGAGCAAUCCUUUGAAGGCUCAAGAUCAAGCUCAAAACAGAAAAAGUUUAAGAAGGCUACUUUAGCCUUAUCAUCCUUAUCUUCAACGUCAAGUGCUAGAAG
rnacentral:lncRNA from 1 species